rnacentral:rRNA from 1 species
UCAGUUGAAUGAAGACCGUACCGUAAACCGACACAGGUGGGUAGGAUGAGAAUUCUAAGGCGCUUGAGAGAACUCAGGAGAAGGAACUCGGCAAAAUAGCACCGUAACUUCGGGAAAAGGUGUGCCCUUUGUAUGUGUAGCGCCUCGCGCGUGAAGCAGAAUAGGGUUGCAAUGAAAUGGUGGCUGCGACUGUUUAAUAAAAACAUAGCACUCUGCAAACACGAAAGUGGACGUAUAGAGUGUGACGCCUGCCCGGUGCCGGAAGGUUAAAUGAUGGGGUGCAAGCUCUUGAUUGAAGCCCCGGUAAACGGCGGCCGUAACGAUAACGGUCCUAAGGUAGCGAAAUUCCUUGUCGGGUAAGUUCCGACCUGCACGAAUGGCGUAACGAUGGCCACACUGUCUCCUCCUGGGACUCAGCGAAGUUGAAAUGUUUGUGAAGAUGCAAUCUCCCCGCGGCUAGACGGAAAGACCCCGUGCACCUUUACUGUAGCUUUACAUUGGACUUUGAUAACAUUUGUGUAGGAUAGGUGGGAGGCUUUGAAGUGGAUUCGCCAGAAUUCAUGGAGCCAACGUUGAAAUACCACCCUGAUGUUGUUGAGGUUCUAACCUAGAUCCAUUAUCUGGAUUGGGGACCGUGUAUGGUAGGCAGUUUGACUGGGGCGGUCUCCUCCCAAAUUGUAACGGAGGAGUACGAAGGUACGCUAGGUACGGUCGGAAAUCGUGCUGAUAGUGCAAUGGCAAAAGCGUGCUUGACUGCGAGACUGACAAGUCGAGCAGAUGUGAAAGCAGGUCAUAGUGAUCCGGUGGUUCUGUAUGGAAGGGCCAUCGCUCAACGGAUAAAAGGUACGCCGGGGAUAACAGGCUGAUUCCUCCCAAGAGUUCAUAUCGACGGGGGAGUUUGGCACCUCGAUGUCGGCUCAUCACAUCCUGGGGCUGUAGCCGGUCCCAAGGGUAUGGCUGUUCGCCAUUUAAAGUGGUACGUGAGCUGGGUUUAAAACGUCGUGAGACAGUUUGGUCCCUAUCUGCCGUGGGCGUUGGAAGUUUGAGUGGAGCUGCUCCUAGUACGAGAGGACCGGAGUGGACGCACCUCUGGUGUACCGGUUAUGACGCCAGUCGUAUCGCCGGGUAGCUAUGUGCGGAAGAGAUAACCGCUGAAAGCAUCUAAGCGGGAAACUCUCCUCAAGAUGAGACUUCCCGAGGGUUUAACCCUCCUAAAGGUUCGUCGAAGACUACGACGUUGAUAGGUCGGGUGUGGAAGCAUAGUGAUAUGUUAAGCUAACCGAUACUAAUUGACCGUGAGGCUUGAUCCU